rnacentral:rRNA from 1 species
UACGAAGGGUGCAAACGUUGCUCGGAAUUAUUGGGCGUAAAGCGCACGUAGGCGGCUUGGCAAGUCGGAUGUGAAAUCCCUCGGCUCAACCAAGGAAGUGCAUCCGAAACUGCCGAGCUUGAGUACUUAAGAGGAUCGCGGAAUUCCCGGUGUAGAGGUGAAAUUCGUAGAUAUCGGGAGGAACACCAGUGGCGAAGGCGGCUCACUGGUCCGGUACUGACGCUGAGGUGCGAAAGCGUGGGGAGCAAACAGG